ACCUUCACUAGCGGAAGACUCUCUCUGAGCUAUGGGAGAGUCACAUGUGAGCAUAAGCGUGAAGUUUUUACUUCCAGCUCUGCACACAUGUCUAGAGCUACGUGACAGUAGAACAAGGAGAACCUGAGAGAACAUAUGCUGGCCCUUUGGAAUCCUUUAAAAGCCAGGCGAGCUAUCUUAUCCUCCUGCCGUUUCCCAAGCAUCUUUGAUGUGAAAGCUAUGAGGCCAAGGCUUGAGAGAAACCUGGCAGCGUCCCCAAGCCUGGCACAGGCUCGCCUCAGACUCACUCUGCUGCUCAGGAGGCGGAGCGCGUGGCACUGGACCCGGCGGGCGGAGCCAGGCCAGCACAACCCUGCGCAGCGCCUACCGCCAGGGCGUCUGGCGCCACCUACCGGCGACCGGGCAAGCGCGAGGGCGACCCCCAAACCAAGCUGCUGUGAGCCGCCUGGACCCGUUAAGAGUAACAGCAUUAUUUCCUUCACCAAGUCAACCCCUCAUAGUCCACCAGGCUCAGGAACUCCUGUCUGAAGAAGAAAAGAUCCCACGCUGAGUACUCUGCCACAGGAGUUAAUCUGACUGCUUUAUGUAAAUCCCACCUGAGGACAAAGGUAGUGUGUGAUCCCAGUACAGGCUCAGGGAACAGUGUGUGUUCAGACAAGAACUGUGGAAUGAAUGAACCAAUGAAUGAACCAACCAAUCAAGGAAUGAAACCAGACGAUCAAAGGACGGAAAGCUAGGCUAAAGUGUUUAAAAAAAAAAAAAAGGCCAGGUAUUUUGUUGAUGGCUGGUAAUUCUACAAAAUCCUGCACUGCACAGACUAGUAUAGCAGCCCCUCUUUGAAGUGCACAGCAGUAACUGACAACUGCCAGGUUCAGCGCAGUGCCUCCUUCUACAGAUAAGUAAAGGCGAGUUUCAGAAGGUUGAAUGCCUUUUCCAAUGCCACUUUGUGGGUGAUAGACCCAGUUUGAACCUACAUUUUCCUGACCUGUUUGGUAUUUAUUUUGUAAGGCAAGAGAAUCAUUUUGUCUUUCUGUAGGCUAGCCCGCCCUGACACAUAUUCUUAGUGGACUGGGCUCAAGGAGGGAGUUGGCUUCAUCAACUACCUGCAGUUGAUCCCCGAGCAUCUGCCCCAGCUUCUCCCAGCCAAGGCAGCUAGCUGCUCAUACAGUUUUGCUCCAAAAAUCAAGUGCUGCUGGGAGCUGAUGCCAAAUGGUCUAAACGUAUGAGUCUGUUUCUUAAAGCCUAAAACACAGUUACUGAGCUAAUGUUAGUGAGCUCCAGGCAAGUGUGCGUUUGUUUUUUGUUUGAUUGUUUUUAUCAACACAGGUGUCCUAUAUCCUACUAUAACCUCUACUAUUUCAAGGUGUGUAAUAUGCAGCUGUUGAGUUUCCCAAUGACAGCUCUAUUUGAAGAUAGUAUUUAUCGGUUGAAGAGUUUUUGCAGUAGUGGAAGAGGUGUGGAGAAAAGUGAAAAGAGUGAUUUUGGAGUCAGAUCACAGGGCCUAAAAGCAAGGAGAAAGACUGAGCUCUAGCUGGAAGUCAUGAGAGGCCAGCUAUCACUCUUACAUAGGGAAUCUCAUUGGCCAAAAUGUCUCGGGGAGAUGACCCUAGUGAAUGAAAAUAGAUUACAAUAGGUAAGGGACAGAUGACAGGAGUCAUAACACUGUUGCUAUAUAGUCUACUCUUAAAAAUACUUAUCAGGUUUUAGCAGUAGCAAACAAUGGCAGUGAACCAACCUCUAAUAAACAUUGUAUACAUAACCUUA